rnacentral:rRNA from 1 species
AUGACCUCAUCAUCGCUGGCCAUGGAGGCAUUCAUAUUGGCCGCCGACCUAUCGCUAGGUGGCGACGAGGCGAGAUCGUCUUCUUCAAUCUCCGGCUCAUCUUCCUCCUCUGACCACCUCAUGUACCACCGGUCGGGCCGCCUACUGCCCCCCCUCCAGGGCCAUCGGCGUCCCACGACCGCCUCGCCACACCUCCCACCCAUGAACCCCCCCACUAGUCUUGCCGCCUCCCCAGCCAUCCCUCUAGCCCUAAGCGAUGACCGAUUUUUCUCCGGCGAACUUGCACCACCGCCGUGCUGCCACCCCCGACCACCGUUUACAUGGAUGAUCGGGAGCAAGUAUUGUGACUUCCCACGCGUGGAGAGAUGGCAUCACGAGCUGGUCGUGUCGUUGUUUGCCAACAUGAACAACAAUCUCGAGACCUUCCGCGAGGACUACCAAGACACCGACUCCAUCUGCAAGGGUGUGGAGGAGUGGCACUUGUCUGCACAACAGCCUCAAGCUGCUCCUGCUGCUAAAAAGAUGUUGCUUGGUCUUUCGUGA